rnacentral:rRNA from 1 species
AUACGGAGGAUCCGAGCGUUAUCCGGAUUUAUUGGGUUUAAAGGGUGCGCAGGCGGGAGAUUAAGUCGGCGGUGAAAUUUUGCAGCUCAACUGUAAAAGUGCCUUCGAAACUGGUUUCCUUGAGUGUAGAUGAAGUAGGCGGAAUUUGUGGUGUAGCGGUGAAAUGCAUAGAUAUCACGAGGAACUCCGAUUGCGCAGGCAGGUUACUAAACUACUACUGACGCUCAGGCACGAAGGCGUGGGGAUCAAACAGGAUUAGAUACCCUGGUAGUCCACGCAGUAAACGAUGAUUACUCGCUGUUUGCGAUACACAGUAAGCGGCUUAGCGAAAGCGUUAAGUAAUCCACCUGGGGAGUACGUUCGCAAGAAUGAAACUCAAAUGAAUUGGCGGGG